UCGGCUCCUUCCUGUCUCUGAGGGACCAGCCGUGCAGAGCUGGUUUUUCUGGACAUUCGUCCAUGAAGGAUUGUUAUCUGCAGAGUGCUUAAAAGCACUCAUCUCAUGCUAAACAACCCUCAUAUCGUCCCCAAUGCUGUCUUCUUUCUUUACCCAACCAGAAAUGUCUACCGUGGAUGGCUUCAUGCGAGGAGAAGGUUGGCCUAACUUGGAGAAGCCAGGGGCACCCUUCUUGGAUAUGGCCAGUGUCUGCCCCAGCCCUUGAAGCGAGCGGGGGGCAGGGGAGGGGUGCGGUUUGAGACUGGAUUUGUUCCUUUCUGUCCUUGCUAAUUUUAAUUUGUUAAUUUUGUAUUUCAGCCGGAUACCCGGCUUCCCCUCAAGACUGGGCAUGUCAUAAAUGAUCGAGUGAAAUAAAUAAUGGAUAAAUGCUUCUCUCUUAGAUUCCAGUUUAAAUCCAAGGAGCCCUGGCAUGUUGCAAUGGAAGUAAAAUAAUUGAAGAGCAGCAAACUUGAAUUUGUGGCUGGAUACGUUUGAAGCUAUGUCAUUACCAUGAUGAUGCCAGGGACCAUAUGAAAUUGUGGUCCAGGGAAAUGACAGCUACCAUGUGUCGUCACUAACAGCUUUCACCAGCAUUACCCUAAUGAACGCUCCGAACCAUUGAAGAGCUCCACUGAGCAGAUAAGAAAAAGCAUGCUCAGGUACCAAGAUUCAAAUCCAGGCCCAGCUGGCCCCAGAGACCCGAGCUCUUAACACGCAUGCUCGUCUGCAAAGGAAGAUGACUUUACAAGGAAUCUGUUUCUAAAGACAGUUCUUAAGGCCAAGAAAUAAAAAUGUGCGUGUCGCAAUCCUGAGUAUUCUCAGUUCUGUGUUAAAUCUAAGAACUGAAACCGACCUGCUUUCCUGGCCCUGAGCUGAAUCAUACAGGAGCCAGUCAAAACAACUUGGCUUCUUGUCCCAGGAAAGACUUGUUCCUGGAAUACAAAACUUUGAACUGCCAACAAUAGCCUAUCUCUCCAGACUAACAGCUUGCUCAUCAAAACUCACUUCAAAGACCCCGACCUCACUGUGCCUGGCCAUUCUGAACUACGAUGUCAUAGACUGCCAAUCCCAACCAGUCUUCCUCUUCUUUUUUUAAACUAUUUUAUUUAUUUAUUUGAGAGAGAGACAGAACGAGAGCGAGCAUGA